GCAAGCUUGCUUGGUGGAUCAGUGGCGAACGGGUGAGUAACACGUGAGCAACCUGCCCUGGACUCUGGGAUAAGCGCUGGAAACGGCGUCUAAUACUGGAUAUGAGCUCUCAUCGCAUGGUGGGGGUUGGAAAGAUUUUUUGGUCUGGGAUGGGCUCGCGGCCUAUCAGCUUGUUGGUGAGGUAAUGGCUCACCAAGGCGUCGACGGGUAGCCGGCCUGAGAGGGUGACCGGCCACACUGGGACUGAGACACGGCCCAGACUCCUACGGGAGGCAGCAGUGGGGAAUAUUGCACAAUGGGCGGAAGCCUGAUGCAGCAACGCCGCGUGAGGGAUGACGGCCUUCGGGUUGUAAACCUCUUUUAGCAAGGAAGAAGCUUUUGUGACGGUACUUGCAGAAAAAGCGCCGGCUAACUACGUGCCAGCAGCCGCGGUAAUACGUAGGGCGCAAGCGUUAUCCGGAAUUAUUGGGCGUAAAGAGCUCGUAGGCGGUUUGUCGCGUCUGCUGUGAAAUCCCGAGGCUCAACCUCGGGCCUGCAGUGGGUACGGGCAGACUAGAGUGCGGUAGGGGAGAUUGGAAUUCCUGGUGUAGCGGUGGAAUGCGCAGAUAUCAGGAGGAACACCGAUGGCGAAGGCAGAUCUCUGGGCCGUAACUGACGCUGAGGAGCGAAAGGGUGGGGAGCAAACAGGCUUAGAUACCCUGGUAGUCCACCCCGUAAACGUUGGGAACUAGUUGUGGGGUCCUUUCCACG
rnacentral:rRNA from 1 species